UACGGAGGAUGCAAGCGUUAUCCGGAAUUAUUGGGCGUAAAGCGUCCGUAGGUGGUUGAGUAAGUCUGCUGUUAAAGCGUGGAGCUUAACUCCAUACCGGCAGUGGAAACUACUGGACUAGAGUGCGGUAGGGGUCAGGGGAAUUCCCAGUGUAGCGGUGAAAUGCGUAGAUAUUGGGAAGAACACCGGUGGCGAAAGCGCCUGACUGGGCCUGCACUGACACUGAGGGAAGAAAGCUAGGGGAGCGAAAGGG
rnacentral:rRNA from 1 species